rnacentral:rRNA from 1 species
UACAGAGGGUGCGAGCGUUAAUCGGAAUUACUGGGCGUAAAGCGCACGUAGUCGGCUUUGCAAGUCGGGUGUGAAAUCCCCGGGCUCAACCUGGGAACUGCAUCCGAGACUGCAUUGCUAGAGUAUGGGAGAGGGAAGCGGAAUUUCUGGUGUAGCAGUGAAAUGCGUAGAUAUCAGAAGGAACAUCAGUGGCGAAGGCGGCUCUCUGGGACGGUACUGACGCUGAGACGCGAAAGCGUGGGGAGCGAACAGG